rnacentral:misc_RNA from 1 species
UUCGAGCGUCAUUACACCCCUCAAGCGUAGCUGGUAUUGGGCCUUCGCCCCCGCGGCGUGCCCGAAAAGCAGUGGCGGUCCGGGGUGACUUUAAGCGUAGUAAACGUCCCGCUUUGAAAGUUCGCCCCGCGGCCGGCCAGACAACCCCCAUUAUUUCCAUCAUUGACCUCGGAUCAGGUAGGGAUACCCGCUGAACUUAA